GAUGAACGCUGGCGGCGUGCCUAAUACAUGCAAGUCGAGCGAACAGACGAGGAGCUUGCUCCUCUGACGUUAGCCGCGGACGGGAGAGUAACACGUGGAUACCCUACCUAUAAGACUGGGAUAACUUCGGGACACCGGAGCUAAUACCGGAGAAUAUAUUGAACCGCAUGGUUCAAUAGUGAAAGACGGCUUUGGUGGCUGUUGUGGAUGGUUCCGCGCCGCAUUAGCUUGUUGGUGGGGUAGUGGCUUACCAAGGCUAUGACGCGUAGCAGGCCGGAGAGGGUGACCGGCAAAAUGGGGACUGAGAGACGGAGCAGACUACUACGGGAGGCAGCAGUGGGGAAUAUUGCACAAUGGGGGGAAGCAUGAUGCAGCAACGCCGCGGGCGGGAGGACGGCCUUCGGGGUGUAAACAGCUUUCGCCGGUGACGAAGCGUGAGUGAAGGUAAUGGGUAAAGAAGCACCGGAUAACUACGUG
rnacentral:rRNA from 1 species